rnacentral:tRNA from 1 species
CCAUUGGUAGCUCAUUGGUAGAGCACCCUCGCAAGAGGGCUGUAGCAGGUUCGACUCCUGCCCAUUCAUCC